AUUUGAACAAGUUGAAUUACGGAGUCAACUUCGCUUUUGUUUUUCUAUAAAAAAAUAGGUAGCAGCUCGAAACGUCGAUAAAUGUUUGAUGAUUUAACCAUUUCAACAAGUCGAGUUACAGAGUCAACCCCGCUUGUGUUUUUUAUGAAGAUACGGUUAGCAUCUCGAAAUGUCGAGCAACGUUUGAUGAUUUAACCA
rnacentral:lncRNA from 1 species